rnacentral:lncRNA from 1 species
UAAUUUGUAUGCAAAAACUUUAAUGACAAACAUAGUGAGUAUUUAAUUAACAAUCAAUUCCUGAAACAUAGAAAUCAAUUUAAAAAUGUUACUCUUAGAGCUAACUAAAUUAAUAAAGAAAUUAUGUUUUUGCAAAAUAACUAAAAAUGUUAUUAUAUUAAUUAAUACAAAACACCAUCAAUAACAUUCAAAACCACUUGACUACUAUAUAUAAACAAUUAUAAAUCAUGGUAAUAGGAAAAAAAAACAAAACAAUUCAAAGAAGAAGUUAAAUAGUAAUCAUAAAGAAUUAAGACUAAGACAAUUUUUAUGGCAUUUUUCAUAAUGACCACUUUAGUAUCAUAUGCGUAUCCAAGUUUUGGUCGAGAAGAUGUAGACGUUGAACCACUGGUCAAUCCGGGUCGCGAGUUUGAUACAUUGGAUGUGAUAUCACCGGCUUCGCAAGAUUACAAUAUUUAUAUGCUAGAGAUCCUCCCACCAAAAUACAAAAUGUAUGUCGAAACCUGCAUGGACAAGAUGGAACCCAUUGGAAAAUGUGGUCUCUAUGUUAUUAAAGAGAUUCUUACGAAUGAACCUGUUUCAAGGGAGUGUUGUCUGAAGGUCGUAAAAGCUGGAAAACAAUGCUUCAUCGAGACUAAUAAGUUGAUGUUUCAAUUUUAUAAAGAGUCGCCGUCGUUCCUAUCCCAACUCCGGCAACAUCUCCUCCGUCACGCCGCCAUAGAUUUUGACACCUCCUCGUCAAGUCGCCGUAGACAUCGACGAAACAGAAGGUCUGAUUUGUCUUCUGUUUUAGAUCAACAAAAUUGAACUGUAAGUGCUAAAUCUGUCCAAUUCCAAGUUGUUAUUACAUAUUUUAACAUGUAUUGUUUGAUUGAAUGUUUAAUUUUGAAACCCGUAAAUCCCAAUUUCAACAUUCUUUCCACUUUGAACCGAGACUGUUUUUUUAUGUUUCCUAAUUAAUUUUGGUUAUUUGAUUAUUGUUUUAUUGAUUGUGAAAGUUUAUAGACUCUAAUUCCUAGUUCUUUUACCACCGGCUCACAUUCAACUCUGAGUUAAAGUUUAAUUUUGGUUCUGCUUUUUACAUAACUUUAACUUUCAAUUCCUUUAGUGAGAAAGAAAGUUCCAAACUUUUUUAUUUUGGAUCUAAAAGUGUGAGGCUUUUUUUCCUUCUGUGUACAUGAUCUUUAAUGAUUUGUGAAUUUGUGGGUUUUGGUUAUGUGAUCAAUUCAGGAUAACGUUUACACCGACGAUCCAACACUGUAGUAAGGCAAUUAUAAUUGGUCUGUGUUUGAGAGCUAAGCUUAAAGAAUGCUUGCCCCUCCAUUAUUAUGUCAACUAUGCUUUAAGUAAAAAGAUAGAUUUUUUCAUGGACAAUUCUCAUAAAUAGACAAUUUUUAAGUUUUUGUCACAAAAAUAGACUACAAAGAAGAAAAUGACCAAAAUGUUUCAUUUAAUAGGUAAAAUGACCUUAAUAUCCUAGAUAUAUAAAAUAAAUUAAAAAUUAAAAAAAUAAAUUAAAAAAUUAAAAAAAAAAAAUUUAUAGUUUUAGAUUAUAUGUUUUCAAACUCUAACUUUUUUAUAAAAAGAUUUUUUUUUUGAAUUUUUUUUUAUUUUUAAAUUUCUUUUUGUAAUUCGAAAAUAAUUUUUGAAACUAUUUUUGAAAUUUUUUUUUUCAAAUUUAUAAUAUUUAUUUUCUAUUUUAUAAAAUUUUAAAUCUCAAUCCAAAAUCUCUACCCCUUAACUCUAAACCCUAAAUGUUUGGAUUAGUUAACCCUAUGGGUAUAAGUGUAUAUUUACUUCUUUAAUGAAACAUUUUGGUCAUUUUGAUCAUUUUGAUCUUUAAAAUCUAUAUUUGUGACAUAAAUUUUUUUAAUGCUAUUGGUAUUUCCCUUUUUUCAAUGGUCAUUUGCUAUAUAUAUGUAUGAUUGUUACUGUUUCCUUUUACUCAUGUUCAGGUUUAUAUCGGAGUGUCUCCCGGUUCUCAUGCCGAUGAACAGCUGAAUGAUAAAGAAAGACUUGGUAACUGCAUUGGAGAAUCCUAAUCUCCGUCAGCUUGUGGAUGAGUGUAUCUACUCCAGUGAGAUGUUCAGAGCAUUUUACUUUUACUCUCUUGUACAAAUUUCACAUUUGGGAUUUUGUAUUGUAUGCCUAGGAGACCGCUAUUUGUCUAUUUCUGUGUUUGAGAGCUAAGCUUAAAGAAUGCUUGCCCCUCCAUUAUUAUGUCAACUAUGCUUUAAGUAAAAAGAUAGAUUUUUUCAUGGACAAUUCUCAUAAAUAGACAAUUUUUAAGUUUUUGUCACAAAAAUAGACUACAAAGAAGAAAAUGACCAAAAUGUUUCAUUUAAUAGGUAAAAUGACCUUAAUAUCCUAGAUAUAUAAAAUAAAUUAAAAAUUAAAAAAAUAAAUUAAAAAAUUAAAAAAAAAAAAUUUAUAGUUUUAGAUUAUAUGUUUUCAAACUCUAACUUUUUUAUAAAAAGAUUUUUUUUUUGAAUUUUUUUUUAUUUUUAAAUUUCUUUUUGUAAUUCGAAAAUAAUUUUUGAAACUAUUUUUGAAAUUUUUUUUUUCAAAUUUAUAAUAUUUAUUUUCUAUUUUAUAAAAUUUUAAAUCUCAAUCCAAAAUCUCUACCCCUUAACUCUAAACCCUAAAUGUUUGGAUUAGUUAACCCUAUGGGUAUAAGUGUAUAUUUACUUCUUUAAUGAAACAUUUUGGUCAUUUUGAUCAUUUUGAUCUUUAAAAUCUAUAUUUGUGACAUAAAUUUUUUUAAUGCUAUUGGUAUUUCCCUUUUUUCAAUGGUCAUUUGCUAUAUAUAUGUAUGAUUGUUACUGUUUCCUUUUACUCAUGUUCAGGUUUAUAUCGGAGUGUCUCCCGGUUCUCAUGCCGAUGAACAGCUGAAUGAUAAAGAAAGACUUGGUAACUGCAUUGGAGAAUCCUAAUCUCCGUCAGCUUGUGGAUGAGUGUAUCUACUCCAGUGAGAUGUUCAGAGCAUUUUACUUUUACUCUCUUGUACAAAUUUCACAUUUGGGAUUUUGUAUUGUAUGCCUAGGAGACCGCUAUUUGUCUAUUUUUGUAUUGCUAAUAUUACUCUACACGCUUGAACGUUGUAUACUGCUUUGAUUUGAUAAUGUUACAAACCUUUUUCUUCAUGGUAACCGCAGCUUGAACUUACCAGAAAGAGCAUCAAAUAAGCUGUUGAUUUUUUUUGUGCAACAUAUGAAGCUGUUGACAAAAUAAAAAAAGUUUGAAACUUUUUUUCUCACUAUCACUCGGACUACACCGUGAGAUCAUUAUAAAGAGUCAAAUUUUCACUUUCCGCAGACAGAGAAUGAUGUGAUCCAUAUUUAUCCAAUCAAUAAAGAUUGCAACAAGUUGUUUAAACCACCAUAAAAAAAAAGAAACAACUUGAAAAAAAGAAAAGAGGGAUGAAAGAGAUAAUAUGAUGACAAUUACCAAAAAAAAUAUAUAAUUCUGAUUUUAAUUAACUUAAAAAUAAACCAGAUUCGAAAUUAAUGUAAACCGGAUCGAAACUGAACAUUAAAUUAUGUUUGGUUUAUAUAAAUCCAGAUUUUCGUUAAUAAAGCUGCCACAAUAUGAAUUAAAAAGUCUGUGACCACAUAAAUAAAAAGUCUACCGAUAAUUUUAAAUCAGAUAUAUAACUCUACCGUAAGAAAAUAAGUCGAACAUAAGAAAAUAAGUUGACCACAAAAAUCUACUGUUUAUAAAAUAUCUGCCACUUCAUUCUACAGACAUAGUCUUAUAAAUCUGUUUUCUAUUCAAAUUGGACAAUUAACUCUGUCGUGGAAACAAAUUUAACGUUUUUAAGAAAAUCUGGCACCACUUUAACGGUAGAGUUUUUUUCUAUACAGAUGUUAUGAACAGACUUAUUACUCGAUAUAUUUAUUUUUUUUAAAAUAAAUCGGCCGUCGAUCAAAUGUUAAUGGUGUUUUAGUAAUGUUUUUUUUUGUUAUAACUAUAAGCAAGAGUAAUUAUGACCAGAAAAAUAUUCUAAUAAUUUUUAGAAAAUAUGAGUCAUUCUAGUAAUAACACAAAUUAAUUUGUGUCAUUUUAGUAAACUUCUCUGUAAUAAUAAAAUAAGAAAGUUAAGAAAAGGGCAAAAUUUACUAUUGAAAAAAGAAGCAAAUAUUUUAGUACAUGGGGGAUGACUCUCACUUUACCAUCUAAAUAUUUUAGUCUCUCUCUCUCUCCCUCCUUCCCCAAUUACCCAUCUCAACACAAAACACCAGCUAACAUAAAUCAUCUUCCUCUCUUGUCUCCUAUAGCUCUGAGCUUCACUCAUGGCUGCCUCAUCCUUUGCAGAUGGUAACCAACUUUGACUUUACACAUCUCUGGACGACUUUUCCAAUACGAUCUAGAUUUUUUUGUUAUUGUAUUUGAUUUUUUUUAGCUGGAAAGAGUUUUAGGCAGCAUCAAAGAUUAUUCUCUUACAACUUUAGUAGUUGAUUGAUUAUUUUGCGUGAUUGUCGGAAAAGAAUAACUCAACCGUUUUUCAGACAUGUUGAUCUUCAUGGUCCCUUGUCUUGUCUGUUAAUUACCGAACCACCCAUAUGCUUCUUCACUUAUCAAAAUUCGUACUAUUUUUAUUUAAUCCAAAAUGAUUAUAUCAUAAAUUCACCUAGUUACAUACACAUGUGUGUAAUAUUCCAGAUCUAUGUAGUUGAAUUGAUGUUUGAAUUUGACAUAAAUUUUUUUAAUGCUAUUGGUAUUUCCCUUUUUUCAAUGGUCAUUUGCUAUAUAUAUGUAUGAUUGUUACUGUUUCCUUUUACUCAUGUUCAGGUUUAUAUCGGAGUGUCUCCCGGUUCUCAUGCCGAUGAACAGCUGAAUGAUAAAGAAAGACUUGGUAACUGCAUUGGAGAAUCCUAAUCUCCGUCAGCUUGUGGAUGAGUGUAUCUACUCCAGUGAGAUGUUCAGAGCAUUUUACUUUUACUCUCUUGUACAAAUUUCACAUUUGGGAUUUUGUAUUGUAUGCCUAGGAGACCGCUAUUUGUCUAUUUUUGUAUUGCUAAUAUUACUCUACACGCUUGAACGUUGUAUACUGCUUUGAUUUGAUAAUGUUACAAACCUUUUUCUUCAUGGUAACCGCAGCUUGAACUUACCAGAAAGAGCAUCAAAUAAGCUGUUGAUUUUUUUUGUGCAACAUAUGAAGCUGUUGACAAAAUAAAAAAAGUUUGAAACUUUUUUUCUCACUAUCACUCGGACUACACCGUGAGAUCAUUAUAAAGAGUCAAAUUUUCACUUUCCGCAGACAGAGAAUGAUGUGAUCCAUAUUUAUCCAAUCAAUAAAGAUUGCAACAAGUUGUUUAAACCACCAUAAAAAAAAAGAAACAACUUGAAAAAAAGAAAAGAGGGAUGAAAGAGAUAAUAUGAUGACAAUUACCAAAAAAAAUAUAUAAUUCUGAUUUUAAUUAACUUAAAAAUAAACCAGAUUCGAAAUUAAUGUAAACCGGAUCGAAACUGAACAUUAAAUUAUGUUUGGUUUAUAUAAAUCCAGAUUUUCGUUAAUAAAGCUGCCACAAUAUGAAUUAAAAAGUCUGUGACCACAUAAAUAAAAAGUCUACCGAUAAUUUUAAAUCAGAUAUAUAACUCUACCGUAAGAAAAUAAGUCGAACAUAAGAAAAUAAGUUGACCACAAAAAUCUACUGUUUAUAAAAUAUCUGCCACUUCAUUCUACAGACAUAGUCUUAUAAAUCUGUUUUCUAUUCAAAUUGGACAAUUAACUCUGUCGUGGAAACAAAUUUAACGUUUUUAAGAAAAUCUGGCACCACUUUAACGGUAGAGUUUUUUUCUAUACAGAUGUUAUGAACAGACUUAUUACUCGAUAUAUUUAUUUUUUUUAAAAUAAAUCGGCCGUCGAUCAAAUGUUAAUGGUGUUUUAGUAAUGUUUUUUUUUGUUAUAACUAUAAGCAAGAGUAAUUAUGACCAGAAAAAUAUUCUAAUAAUUUUUAGAAAAUAUGAGUCAUUCUAGUAAUAACACAAAUUAAUUUGUGUCAUUUUAGUAAACUUCUCUGUAAUAAUAAAAUAAGAAAGUUAAGAAAAGGGCAAAAUUUACUAUUGAAAAAAGAAGCAAAUAUUUUAGUACAUGGGGGAUGACUCUCACUUUACCAUCUAAAUAUUUUAGUCUCUCUCUCUCUCCCUCCUUCCCCAAUUACCCAUCUCAACACAAAACACCAGCUAACAUAAAUCAUCUUCCUCUCUUGUCUCCUAUAGCUCUGAGCUUCACUCAUGGCUGCCUCAUCCUUUGCAGAUGGUAACCAACUUUGACUUUACACAUCUCUGGACGACUUUUCCAAUACGAUCUAGAUUUUUUUGUUAUUGUAUUUGAUUUUUUUUAGCUGGAAAGAGUUUUAGGCAGCAUCAAAGAUUAUUCUCUUACAACUUUAGUAGUUGAUUGAUUAUUUUGCGUGAUUGUCGGAAAAGAAUAACACAACCGUUUUUCAGACAUGUUGAUCUUCAUGGUCCCUUGUCUUGUCUGUUAAUUACCGAACCACCCAUAUGCUUCUUCCCUUAUCAAAAUUCGUACUAUUUUUAUUUAAUCCAAAAUGAUUAUAUCAUAAAUUCACAUAGUUACAUACACAUGUGUGUAAUAUUCCAGAUCUAUGUAGUUGAAUUGAUGUUUGAUUUUCUUCAGGAGAAAAAGAUAUGGUGAAAGGUGGAAUGAUUCUACAAUCUACUGAGUCUCAAAACCCUAUGUUAGAUCCUUCACCAACGCCUUCACCAUCCGCAACAGCAACUGCACCAGCUUUGGUUCUGUCUAACUCAGGCAAAAGAAUGGAUCAAGCUGGGAAGAAAAAGUACGUGAAGCAAGUCACAGGUCGCCACAACGACACUGAGCUUCACUUAGCUGCUCAGCGUGGCGAUUUGUCGGCUGUGCAGCAGAUUCUCAAGGAUAUUAACUCUCAGAUGGAAGGGACUCUGAGCGGGGAAGAGUUUGACGCUGAAGUUGCUGAGAUCAGGGCUUCGAUUGUGACUGAGGUGAAUGAGUUAGGCGAGACCGCGCUCUUCACUGCUGCUGAUAAAGGUCAUCUUGAUGUUGUGAAAGAGCUUGUAUGUCGAAACCUGCAUGGACAAGAUGGAACCCAUUGGAAAAUGUGGUCUCUAUGUUAUUAAAGAGAUUCUUACGAAUGAACCUGUUUCAAGGGAGUGUUGUCUGAAGGUCGUAAAAGCUGGAAAACAAUGCUUCAUCGAGACUAAUAAGUUGAUGU